rnacentral:rRNA from 1 species
CCUACGGGCGGCAGCAGUGAGGAAUAUUGGUCAAUGGACGAGAGUCUGAACCAGCCAAGUAGCGUGAAGGAUGACUGCCCUAUGGGUUGUAAACUUCUUUUAUAAAGGAAUAAAACGAGGCACGUGUCCCUUUUUGCAUGUACUUUAUGAAUAAGGAUCAGCUAACUCCGUGCCAGCAGCCGCGGUAAUACGGAGGAUCCGAGCGUUAUCCGGAUUUCGUGGGUUUAAAGGGAGCGUAGAUGGGUUGUUAAGUCAGUUGUGAAAGUUUGCGGCUCAACCGUAAAAUUGCAAUUGAUACUGGCAGUCUUGAGUACAGUUGAGGUAGGCGGAAUGCGUGGUGUAGCGGUGAAAUGCUUAGAUAUCACGAAGAACCCCGAUUGCGAAGGCAGCUUACUAAACUGUGACUGACAUUGAUGCUCGAAAGUGUGGGUAUCAAACAGGAUUAGAUACCCCAGUAGUC